rnacentral:rRNA from 1 species
GAUCAUGGCUCAGGAUGAACGCUAGCUACAGGCUUAACACAUGCAAGUCGAGGGGAAACGACAUCGAAAGCUUGCUUUUGAUGGGCGUCGACCGGCGCACGGGUGAGUAACGCGUAUCCAACCUGCCCAUCACGUUGGGAAUAACCUUGCGAAAGUAAGACUAACUGCCCAAUGACUAUCCCACGAAGGCAUCCGAAUGGGAUUAAAGAUUUAUCGGUGAUGGAGUGGGGAUGCGU